AGGAGCCUGAGGCCUUCCGGUCGCGGGGAGGGGCCCGAGGAGGGCCCAGGCAGAGGUUUUCGCUGCGGGCCUUCCUCGCUUCCGGGCCUCACAGGCACUUCUCACCUGCCCUGGCUAGUUCUGGAAAGCUGUCUGUUGCUCAGUUAAAAAUUCCCGUUGCCCGAGUUACUGCCUGGAAGGUUGUAGUACGCGGAAACUUCAAAUUGUGUGACAGGUAGUUGGGAGUGUUGCUGUCCACUCGUGUGGAUCAGCAGCGGUUCUCGGGUCCCCUGACGUGACGUCAUCGAAAAGAGACGUUUCCUGAACUCAUCUUGACAAGCACUUCUUGAGAGUCCUCAACAAUGUCUCCAUGAAAACUUGAAGGCCAUAAGAAAGAGAAGAGGAGGAGGAAGCUGGAUGUCCAUUUCUUCUGGACCAUUCCUCAUCUAGGACUUCUCUGAGGUACAUGUCCAUCUCACCUCCCACAUCUCCAGCUUUCAAUGCUUCAUUGCAACUUAAGGUUGAUACAGAAAUCAAAACAGACAGGAUACAAAGCCCACAGUGCAACUUGCUUGUCGCCACAAGGACUACAGAUAGGAGUUAGCUGCCACAGUCCAGAAACAGCAGUGCUGGGUGUAUCCCUAGCACACCAAAGCUUUCAGAAAUGAAAAAGCUUGUCUUCGGUCUUUUACUUAUUUUGGUUUUUUUGUUCUUCUGGUAUCUUCUUUUGGAAACAAUACCAUGAUUUAAAAGUCAUAACAGGGCUCCCAACAGCUCAGGACUUCAACAUUUGCCAAGCAAACAAAAGGGUCUGUCUGUGCUUGAUUCUCAGCACCAAACAACUACAACCAGCCCAAUCACCUCUUCCAGCUCCAGGAACCAAAGGUCACCUCUUCCAGCCAUGUUUCAAGAUGGCAGAGAACCAGUUUCUCUAUAUCCUCAGUCAAUAUCAGUAGAGUAAUAAUGGAAAGCUUAUGGUAUAUGACUUUUAAAUUUUUCUAUGAACUGCUUCACAUUUUGCUUUUAUGAACAGAUAAUUUUUGAGCUGGCAAUCCAAUGCUCAGUGGAUUGACAUUUCUUACUGAGCCUCAUGGCACCAGCUUGAUCCCUGGGACUCACGUGGGGGAAGAACCAAUUUCUGCAAGUUGUCCUUUGACCUACAUAUGCACAUGUACCUACAUGCAUGCACACAUACUAAAUAUUUAAAAAUAGGUGGUUUAAUAUGCUCAGAAGCGUGAGUAACAUACUCUGCUGCCAAAAUACUAGAGUUCCCAUUUUAAAGAGUUUUGAAGGACAUUAAAAUACUAAAAUCACUACAUUGUCUCUCAGUGUUACUAAAUAAAAUGGUCCCAAAGUGCUA